AUAUGACUCCCGAGCACCGGGCAGCGGGGAAUUGGGACGCAGGCGCGGACCCGGGGAUCACUCCCCCAGCACGGGUAUGAAACCAUAGGGGACCUGUCCGGGUGGCCUCCGGGAUAGGCGCUCCCCAAGGUAAUACGUGGGAUGGAGGGGGA
rnacentral:other from 1 species